rnacentral:sRNA from 1 species
UGAUACAAAGAUGCAUUGUGGCUAAACU